GUCUCCGACCAUGCCACCCUGAACAAGCCCAAUGUCUGAUCUCGGAAUCUAAGCAGGGUGGGGCCUGGUUAGUACUUGGAUGGGAGACCACCUAGGAAGACCAGGUGCUGUAGGCA
rnacentral:rRNA from 1 species